rnacentral:lncRNA from 1 species
CUGCUUCCCUUUCUGAAGCUGCUACUCAAGGGCCAUUUCAACCUGACCCCGCCCACCUCUCCGGGCCCAUUGCUCUCCACACUCCCGUGCAUCUUCCACCACUGUGGAUUCACCUGCAAUUCCCUGCACACAUCCUGCUACCUCUCACCUUCGUCUUAGCUGUCUCCUCUACCAUAUGUGGCUCCUGUGCAACGCCCCACUCCCUGCUCACUCUCAGUCCCUCCAACACUCACACGUUCAUCACCCAGUCAACUGCUGUUCACCCUUCAGAAUUUGCUCCAAGCAUUGCCUUCCCUGGGUUGCUUUCCCUGACACCCCUUCUCCACUCCCUCAUCCUUCAUCCUGAUCUAAGAGGCUGUGUUCAGUGCCCUCUAGCCUUCUGUACUCUGCUCUCACAGCGCUGAUCGUGAUGCACUUAGCUGUCCCCAACUAGACCAAACUCCUUGGUAGCAGAGACUGUGUCUCAGUCAACUUUGGGUCCCCAGUAUUUGGUAAGUGUUCAGUUUUUAAUAAAUGUUUAUAGAAUUUAUGAAUUAAUUAAACAGCAUCCAGAAGGAGAAGAAGAAGGGAAGAUGAGAAAGGAUGAAGAUAAUACCGUUUAUCUGUUGGAAACCAAUCCCAGUACCACCGACCGUUGACAUUGCCAACCUUUCUUCUUUUCUUAUCAUUCUGUCUCAUUUUUGGUCCUGUGGAGUGUUUAAUUCUUAUAGAGAUGUGCUUCUCAUGGUGUUGUCUCGGUUUCUGAGAAGAUGUAUCAGUCGCGUCAGCAUUGACAACUCCUGCACAGGUAUGAUGAGAACAGAACAGGUGUUCUCAAAAAAAGAUGUAACUUUUAAAAACUUGGAGAUUGAAGAUCACAAUGGAUCAUCAAAAAAUGCAAAAGAAUCAGCCCCCCAGUACAUAGUUGUGUAUUCUUCGUUGUCGGUUCUUCUAGUUGUGGCAUGUGGGACGCUGCCUCAGUGUGGUUUGAUGAGCAGUGCCAUGUCCGCGCCCAGGAUUCGAACCAACGAAACACUGGGCCGCCUACAGCGGAGCGCGGGAACUUAACCACUCGGCCACAGGGCCAGCCCCCAAGGUUGGAAAGGAAGAUGUCAUUUCAGUCCUGAAAAAGUUUGACUUGCAUCUGAAGGACGAAUAUUUUGACGAUUUCCUGAAGAGAUGCGACCUUCUAAACAGUCUGACUGGCCGUAGGAAUUUGGAUACCUGAGAAACAUCCAGGAUGGCAGCGAUGAAGGGACCACGCGCAGUCCUCUCCAAGCCCGUGCGCAGGUUGCACGGACCCUCUAUAUUGUUACUGCUAGUCUUCUAAUCAGCUAUCUCCUACCAGACCCGUUGAUAAACACAAAGGACGGUCCUCACCUUUGUGGUGCCCUGUCCUCCUGGAGACCUUGACAUUAAUGGACAAGGGCAGCCUGGUCCAGAGACGGUCCAUGAGAAGUUGGCCUUGGGAAACAAAAGUGCUACAGGAAUGAACCUACUCUGUAUUGUUACUAAAACCGU